rnacentral:rRNA from 1 species
AAUCAACGCUGGCGGCGUGCCUAACACAUGCAAGUCGAACGAGAAAGUGGAGCAAUCCAUGAGUAAAGUGGCGCACGGGUGAGUAACACGUGACUAACCUACCCAGGAGUGGGGGAUAACUGAGGGAAACCUUAGCUAAUACCGCAUAACACCUACGGGUCAAAGGAGCAAUUCGCUUCUGGAGGGGGUCGCGGCCGAUUAGUUAGUUGGCAGGGGUAAUGGCCUACCAAGACGAUGAUCGGUAUCCGGCCUGAGAGGGCGCACGGACACACUGGAACUGAAACACGGUCCAGACUCCUACGGGAGGCAGCAGUGGGGGAAUUUUGCGCAAUGGGGGAAACCCUGACGCAGCAACGCCGCGUGGAGGAUGAAGUCCUU